rnacentral:misc_RNA from 1 species
ACCAGUCAUUGUCAAUAUUCCACCUUCAUUCUUAAAAGCUUGUCUUGCACAAGAAGCAAUUGCAAGUAUAUGGUCAAAAAGCAGCGGAACUGGCCCAUCAGGGUCUUCUGCGAUAUGGAAGUGGUAAGAAAACUUUUCCCAUAGGAUUUGCCCAUGGGACCCGUUUAGAGUCACCUCCAGCAUGAAGCAACAGUAUGUGCUUUUUGGCCACAAAUC